GAAUAAAUGGAUAGUGGGUGGGUGAGUGGAUGAAUGGAUAGUGGAUGGUUGAUGGAAGGACUGAAGGAUGGUGGGUGGAUAGUAGGUGGAUGGAUUGAUAGUAGGUAGUGAAUGUAUGGUGAAAGGAUGGAAGGAUGGUGGACGGAUGGUGGGUGGAUGGAUGGAUGGUGGUUAGGUGGGUGAUGGAUGGAUAGUGGAUAGAUGAGUAGAUGGAUAGAUAGAUCAAUGUAUGGAAGGAUGGAUAGAUGUUGCAUGGAUGGGGGAUAAAUGACAGGAUUUUGAAUGGAUAGUGGGAGGAGGGAUGGAUGAUGGCUGCCUGGCUGGAUAGUGUAUAGAUGAGCAGAUGACUGGAUGGAUGGAUAGAUGAGGGACGCAUGGUGGAUAAAUAGGUGGAUGAACAGAUGAGGGAUAGAUGAAUGGAUGAAUAAAUGGUGGAUGGAUGGCUUGUGGAUGUGUGCACGAUGGAUGGUGGAUAGAUGGAUGGAUGGAUGGAUGGCUAGAUGGAUGGAUGAAUGAAUACCUAUGAGGCAACGAUUGCCAAGGCACACUUGGACACUUCUAAGGUAAGUGAGUCUAAUCCAAUUGAGCAUCACUGUGAGCUCUAUGCACAGCUGCUCCAUCUACUGCUCUUCCUUUCUCGUCCCUACCUUAUUCUGGAUUGGGGAGAUGUCCAAUUCUGACAAGGUUGUGGUCCUUUCACAGUUCUCCUCUCAAUGAGCUCAUCAACAGCCCCUCCCCUUCAGGAUAUUAGGGUCUUCGCAGUUUCUGUGGAAAUCUCAUCGGACAUUUCCCACCAGUGUCAGCUUCCUCAGCUGACGCGAUGGGACGGCAGACUCAAGUGGAGGGACAACUUGCUGUUUGCCUCUCGUAUCUCCAUCAACCAUAUGAUCUCUUUCCUUGUUUCACCUGACUUCACAGCCCAUUUUCCUGAGCCAUGGACAUCUGCUCUGACAUUAGUCAUUUUAAAGACAUCUGGGCUCAGUCCCUUCAAUCUUGUUACAUUUUUCUCCAUAAAGCCCUUAUUACCGACAUCUUUUUUCCCAAGCUUUCAGGAAAAUGGUAUACAAAGUGCUGAGCAGGAACCAUUGAUAUCACCAGAGUAAAGUGAUGCCAUCCCUGCCACCCUUCGGCUUCAGAAUGAACUUCAAGGUUUUUGGAAUUCAGAACGCACAACAUGGGGGUGUCCCUCCCUCUCGUCCCACCCCUGAGCUCCCCAAUACCAAUCCUGGGGUACUGGAAACAGGCCUCAUCUCCUACCUGCACAUUGGAGCCAGGCAGUGGCCUGCCAUAUAGGUCCUAUGUCUUCUAAUUAUUAAUGUGCUGGUGUUUCUAGGACACUUCACACGAUAAAGAUGGUGGUGGUGUUAAUGAAAAUAAGGGAGAGUCACCACCAUGUACUAAGAACUAAUUACAGUGUGG
rnacentral:lncRNA from 1 species